rnacentral:lncRNA from 1 species
CUGCCAAGGAUGACCUAUGGAAAAGUUGCACCUUUGAAGUUCUGUGGACUACUACAAUUUCAAGGGGCCCUGAAGAUCACCAAGGCUAUUAUUUCAGAUAAUAUUGGUGCCUAUGUGACCAGGAUUUAGAGAUUGUCCAUUGAAGACCUGUGGAUUCACCAUUGAGUAUAAAACUGAAGACAAUGACUGCCCCUCUUCUAGAAUCUAUCAAUAACCAUUGUUUAUCAGAGAGGAUAUAACUCCAAGAGCCCCUCCUGUUCCAUGAUUGAGUAAUGACAGUAUCAAUCUUCAGAUAGUCUAGAGGAGACCUUAGCCUCUGUGGGAUCAUGGUUGCAAUGGCUAUAUUGUGCCCAGAAGAUAACAUUUUGUAGUUCUUUUAUCUUCUGGUUCUCUUCAUAAACUAGAUAUAUAUCAUAAACAAAUUGAACUUG